UGGGGGUGGAGCUUCACUGCAAGGGUUAAUGCAGUCCUUAGAGAUUGAGUGGGAUUUUCACACCCCCUGGCACAGCUCCUCUUCUGGGAAGGUGGAGCGAAUGAACCAGACAUUAAAGAAGCAAUUAACUAAAUUAGUGUUAUAAACCCAACUUCCUUGGGUAAAAUGCUUACUCCUACAGGUUCAAAGAGCACCAA